rnacentral:sRNA from 1 species
UUGCAGUAUAUGCUUGCAUGAGAGCGGUUUUAGAGCUUUAUGACCCGCUUCCGAUAUGAGCAUAAAAGUGUAGCGUAAGCUGCACGAUAUGCGAAUAUUGGUGAGAAUUGUGAGAGCACGGAGUGCGGAACAAUUCU